rnacentral:rRNA from 1 species
UCGAACGGCAGCAUGAUCUAGCUUGCUAGAUUGAUGGCGAGUGGCGAACGGGUGAGUAAUACAUCGGAACGUGCCCUGUAGUGGGGGAUAACUAGUCGAAAGAUUAGCUAAUACCGCAUACGACCUGAGGGUGAAAGUGGGGGACCGCAAGGCCUCAUGCUAUAGGAGCGGCCGAUGUCUGAUUAGCUAGUUGGUGAGGUAAAGGCUCACCAAGGCGACGAUCAGUAGCUGGUCUGAGAGGACGAUCAGCCACACUGGGACUGAGACACGGCCCAGACUCCUACGGGAGGCAGCAGUGGGGAAUUUUGGACAAUGGGCGAAAGCCUGAUCCAGCAAUGCCGCGUGUGUGAAGAAGGCCUUCGGGUUGUAAAGCACUUUUGUCCGGAAAGAAAUGGCUCUGGUUAAUACCUGGGGUCGAUGACGGUACCGGAAGAAUAAGGACCGGCUAACUACGUGCCAGCAGCCGCGGUAAUACGUAGGGUCCAAGCGUUAAUCGGAAUUACUGGGCGUAAAGCGUGCGCAGGCGGUUGUGCAAGACCGAUGUGAAAUCCCCGAGCUUAACUUGGGAAUUGCAUUGGUGACUGCACGGCUAGAGUGUGUCAGAGGGGGGUAGAAUUCCACGUGUAGCAGUGAAAUGCGUAGAGAUGUGGAGGAAUACCGAUGGCGAAGGCAGCCCCCUGGGAUAACACUGACGCUCAUGCACGAAAGCGUGGGGAGCAAACAGGAUUAGAUACCCUGGUAGUCCACGCCCUAAACGAUGUCAACUAGUUGUUGGGGAUUCAUUUCCUUAGUAACGUAGCUAACGCGUGAAGUUGACCGCCUGGGGAGUACGGUCGCAAGAUUAAAACUCAAAGGAAUUGACGGGGACCCGCACAAGCGGUGGAUGAUGUGGAUUAAUUCGAUGCAACGCGAAAAACCUUACCUACCCUUGACAUGCCCCUAACGAAGCCAAGAUGCUUUAGGUGCUCGAAAGAAAAGUGAACACAGGUGCUGCAUGGCUGUCCUCAGCUCCGGGCCGGG